CCUACGGGUGGCUGCAGUGGGGAAUAUUGGACAAUGGGGGGAACCCUGAUCCAACCAUGCCGCGUGUGUGAAGAAGGCCCUCGGGUUGUAAAGCACUUUCAGUGAGGAAGAACGCCUGGUGGUUAAUACCCAUCAGGAAAGACAUCACUCACAGAAGAAGCACCGGCUAACUCCGUGCCAGCAGCCGCGGUAAUACGGAGGGUGCGAGCGUUAAUCGGAAUUACUGGGCGUAAAGCGCGCGUAGGUGGCUUGAUAAGCCGGUUGUGAAAGCCCCGGGCUCAACCUGGGAACGGCAUCCGGAACUGUCAAGCUAGAGUGCAGGAGAGGAAGGUAGAAUUCCCGGUGUAGCGGUGAAAUGCGUAGAGAUCGGGAGGAAUACCAGUGGCGAAGGCGGCCUUCUGGACUGACACUGACACUGAGGUGCGAAAGCGUGGGUAGCAAACAGGAUUAGAUACCCGGGUAGUC
rnacentral:rRNA from 1 species